rnacentral:rRNA from 1 species
AGCCACAGCCAUAUCACCCUGCAGACCAAGAACGGUUACUCACUGAAGCUAAGCAGGGCUGAGCCUGGUUCAGUACAUAGAUGAGAGACCACAUGGGAAAAAUAGGUUACUGUUGAAA